UGGGGAAUAUUGCACAAUGGGCGCAAGCCUGAUGCAGCCAUGCCGCGUGUGUGAAGAAGGCCUUCGGGUUGUAAAGCACUUUCAGCGGGGAGGAAGGCGGUGAGGUUAAUAACCUCAUCGAUUGACGUUACCCGCAGAAGAAGCACCGGCUAACUCCGUGCCAGCAGCCGCGGUAAUACGGAGGGUGCAAGCGUUAAUCGGAAUUACUGGGCGUAAAGCGCACGCAGGCGGUCUGUCAAGUCGGAUGUGAAAUCCCCGGGCUCAACCUGGGAACUGCAUUCGAAACUGGCAGGCUAGAGUCUUGUAGAGGGGGGUAGAAUUCCAGGUGUAGCGGUGAAAUGCGUAGAGAUCUGGAGGAAUACCGGUGGCGAAGGCGGCCCCCUGGGCAAAGACUGACGCUCAGGUGCGAAAGCGUGGGGAGCAAACAGG
rnacentral:rRNA from 1 species